GUCUCGCGGUGCCCCCCAGUGCCGGAGGGGAAGGAGCGGGCGUGAAGGACGCGAGCUGGAGGACAGUCUCGAUUCGGGCCUGAGCCGUGGAAGCCGUUGGCCUUCGCACAGGAAAGAGGAGCCCGAGAUCAGUCUCUCUGCGCCUCCCUGCUUCCCCCCUUGAAUGGAGCUGCGUUCAGGAGCUGCCUACAGUGCCCAGCGCAUGGCAGCCAUGCUGAGGAGGGGUACAGGGCCAAGAGACACCUGGGUCAGAAGCUUCCCUGAGGGCCUCCCAACAGGAAGACUCUGGGCCCUGCCGCCCACCCGCCACAGCUCCGUUUUCAGCCACAGCAUCCCUGACCUCUCCUUGGAGAAUGUGGGGGCCACUGGACACGCCAGGCCCUGAUGCCGGCACAGGCAGCCUCCUCUUGUUCCUGGACCAAACUGAGAGUCGGGCUGCUAUUUCUCGUGGCCCAGUAACGAGAUGCAGAU